AACGAACGCUGGCGGCGUGCCUAACACAUGCAAGUCGAACGAGAAAGGGGCUUCGGCCCUGAGUAAAGUGGCGCACGGGUGAGUAACACGGGGGUAACCUGCCUCUAAGAUUGGGAUAACUCGUCGAAAGAUGGGCUAAUACCGGAUAAGACCACGGUUCCUUCGGGGACAGGGGGCGAAGGUAGCCUCUGCAGGCAAGCUAUCACUUAGAGAUGGGCCCGGGUACCAUUAGCUAGUUGGUAGGGUAACGGCUUCCCAAGGGAAAGAUGGUUAGCUGGUCUGAGAGGAUGAGCAGCCACACUUGAGCUGAGACACGGUCCAGACUCCUACGGGAGGCAGCAGUGGGGAAUAUUGCGCAAUGGGCGAAAGCCUGACGCAGCAACGCCGCGUGGGGGAAGAAGGCCUUCGGGUUGUAAACCCCUUUCAGGAGGGAAGAAGCCCCGGCCGUUAAUAGCGGAUCGGGGUGACGGUACCUCCAGAAGAAGGCCCGGCUAACUACGUGCCAGCAGCCGCAGUAA
rnacentral:rRNA from 1 species